GCCGCAGCGGCGGAGCCCGAUACAGAGCUGCCGGAGCCAAAGCACAAGAUCCCCGGCGACUCGGAUACAGAAUCGGAGACUGAUAAGCCUACUUCGGUGGAGCCUGAACCGGCCAAACCGGCUAAACCGGUGGUCGUGGCAUCUAGGUCUCUAGCUGAGAUGAUGGACAGAGAAGAGGCCGAAGCAGCCGGAGAAGGACGCUCGGAAAACUCGCCGGCGGCGACACCCGCUUCCUCCGGCGAUGAGGCUAAACCAACGAUUCAGAUUCCUCGUAGCUUUGGCUCAUUCAAAGAAGAAAGCAACAGAAUCUCCGACCUGUCGGAAUCCGAGUUGAAUUCCCUCCACGAACUCCGGCGGCUCGUCCAAGAAGCAAACACCGACGGUGAAGAUUCCGGCGGAAUCUCCAUCUGGGGAAUCCCUCUCCUCAAAGACGACAGAAGCGACGUCGUUUUGCUGAAAUUCCUGAGAGCGAGAGAUUUAAAGGCUCAAGAAGCUUGCACAAUGCUCAGAGAAACACUCCAAUGGAGAAAAGAGUUCAACAUCGACGAGCUAAUCGACGAAAACCUUGGGGACGAUCUUGACAAGGUUGUGUUCAUGCAGGGACACGACAGAGAAGGUCAUCCGGUGUGUUACAACGUGUACGGAGAGUUUCAGAACAAUGAUUUGUAUCAGAAGACGUUUUCGGACGAGGAGAAGAGGAACAUGUUCUUGAGAUGGAGAAUUCAGUUCCUAGAGAAGAGUAUAAGGAAGCUGGAUUUCGUGUCGGGUGGGGUCUCGACCAUUUGUCAGGUGAAUGAUCUGAAGAACUCGCCCGGACCUGGUAAGAAAGAGCUUCGGCUGGCGACUAAGCAAGCUGUUCAGCUGCUUCAGGACAAUUAUCCCGAGUUUGUGUCCAAACAGAUAUUCAUCAACGUUCCAUGGUGGUAUCUCGCAUUUUAUAAGAUGAUCAGCCCAUUCAUGACACAAAGAUCAAAGAGCAAGCUUGUGUUUGCAGGUCCUUCAAGAUCCGCGGAAACCCUUUUCAAAUAUAUUUCACCCGAACAAGUCCCGAUUCAGUACGGCGGUCUAAGCGUUGAUAACUGCGAUUGCGGCUCGGAAUUCACCAGGGACGAUACCGCCACCGAGAUUACCAUCAAACCAACGACCAAACAGACCGUGGAGAUCAUCAUAUACGAGAAAUGCACGAUCGUGUGGGAGCUACGGGUCGUGGGAUGGGAGGUAACAUACGGAGCAGAGUUUCUACCAGAGAACAGAGAGGCGUACACAGUGAUAAUUCAGAAACCUAGGAAGAUGUCUUCGGAGGAUGAACCAGUUGUGUCACAGAGCUUCAAAGUCGGAGAAUUGGGCAAGAUCUUGCUCACCAUUGAUAACCCGACUGCAAAGAAGAAGAAGCUUGUUUACAGGUUCAAGGUGAAACCUUUGAGCGAGUAGGAACAGAGAGCAGACAAAAGAAGAAGAGAUCAAGAGACCUUUUUGUUUUUAUACGGUUAAAGGAGAGAUUUUGGUAACUUCCUGGUAGCAAAAGAUCUGCGGGGAUCUAUGGGAUGAUGGCGACAUGAGAUCGUGGUUCAUCACUCGGCGACAAAAUCAUAAGAUAUGGUGCUGUCGGAUAUUUGAAAUUAUUAAUCAUCAUUGUUAUAGAGUUAUACCGUGAAUAUUGUUUAAAAUUAGUUCGACGACGAUGAAG